rnacentral:rRNA from 1 species
AGCGAACGCUGGCGGCGUGCUUAACACAUGCAAGUCGAGUGCGCGUUUCGUAGCAAUACGGGAUGGCGCACGGCGCACGGGUGAGGAACACGUGGGCAACAUGCCCUCUGAUGGGGAAUAACCCCGCGAAAGCGGGGCUAAUACCGCAUAAGAUUCCGGGGACCUCGGUCCCUGGACUGAAAGCCCGCAAGGGCGUCGGAGGAGUGGCCCGCGGCCGAUUAGCUUGUUGGCGGGGAACGGCCCACCAAGGCAAUGAUCGGUAGCCGGUCUGAGAGGAUGAUCGGCCACACUGGAACUGAGACACGGUCCAGACUCCUACGGGAGGCAGCAGUGGGGAAUCUUGCGCAAUGGGCGAAAGCCUGACGCAGCGACGCCGCGUGGGGGAUGAAGCCUUUCGGGGCGUAAACCCCUUU